AGAGUUUGAUCCUGGCUCAGGACGAACGCUGGCGGCGCGCCUAACACAUGCAAGUCGAACGGAGCUUAGAGAGCUUGCUUUUUAAGCUUAGUGGCGAACGGGUGAGUAACGCGUGAGUAACCUGCCCUAGAGUGGGGGACAACAGUUGGAAACGACUGCUAAUACCGCAUAAGCCCACGGUACCGCAUGGCACUGAGGGAAAAGGAUUUAUUCGCUUUAGGAUGGACUCGCGUCCAAUUAGCUAGUUGGUGAGGUAACGGCCCACCAAGGCGACGAUUGGUAGCCGGACUGAGAGGUUGAACGGCCACAUUGGGACUGAGACACGGCCCAGACUCCUACGGGAGGCAGCAGUGGGGAAUAUUGCACAAUGGGGGAAACCCUGAUGCAGCGACGCCGCGUGGAGGAAGAAGGUUUUCGGAUUGUAAACUCCUGUCGUUAGGGACGAUAAUGACGGUACCUAACAAGAAAGCACCGGCUAACUACGUGCCAGCAGCCGCGGUAAAACGUAGGGUGCAAGCGUUGUCCGGAAUUACUGGGUGUAAAGGGAGCGCAGGCGGGAAGACAAGUUGGAAGUGAAAUCUAUGGGCUCAACCCAUAAACUGCUUUCAAAACUGUUUUUCUUGAGUAGUGCAGAGGUAGAUGGAAUUCCCGGUGUAGCGGUGGAAUGCGUAGAUAUCGGGAGGAACACCAGUGGCGAAGGCGGUCUACUGGGCACCAACUGACGCUGAGGCUCGAAAGCAUGGGUAGCAAACAGGAUUAGAUACCCUGGUAGUCCAUGCCGUAAACGAUGAUUACUAGGUGUUGGAGGAUUGACCCCUUCAGUGCCGCAGUU
rnacentral:rRNA from 1 species